rfam:Schistosoma haematobium scaffold712_21, whole genome shotgun sequence.
ACACUGCUGAAGAGUCCCAAACUAGAACGAAAUGGCCGUCCAGUGU